ensembl:lncRNA
GACUGCAGUGCCCAUUUUAAACGCUUGCUCUCAGUGUUAUAUAUUGGUUCUUUAAACAAGAGACAAGAGUUUUUAUCUUAUUUACAUUUUUAACAAAAUAACGAACGAAAUUAACAGAAUAUUUCUUGAGUCCGCGGUCCACACUCCAGUACAGGGGGUGGCAGUACGGGGCAACUAUAUUGGUGUAACAACGAUGAAGAAAUAUAUGGCAAGCGGAAGUGGUUGACUACUGUUUUGGCCGCGGUUCGCUUAAACUCAAAGGUACUGGUACUUUACAAGUUUCGUUUGACCAUAUAAGACGAAAGCUGUCAAGGAUAAUUGUGCUAAUGGCCCAGUGAUCACUGACUUUUCACAGCCGCAUUUUCUCUUAAAUGUAUUUGUUCUUGAGGAAAAGAUCCUUGUUAAUCUUACCGACAUUUAUGUCCCGUGUUUUGCCAAAUGCUGUUACCAGGCUAAAUGCUUCUCAUCGCCCAUGAACAUGAUAUAGGUUAACGACUAUAAGCCUAUGAGAGAUUCAUAUUAGGAUUUGAAACAUGGCUAUGAUAACAAAAUAAUAACAAAGUAACACAUUGGCCACAUAGUAAGAUUGCCAAACUGAUUAUUACCUCAAGUUCAGUAAUAUAUUUACAUUAUUAAAUAUAUGUAAACUCAGGCAUAAUAAUUCGGAUCUGUUUGGUAAGGAUAUCUGUAUUGGAUGGAUUAUAUUGUUGUAACUCCCAGUGAUUAAGGCAGUAGUCUUUUAACUGUAUUUGUAUGGCUUUUUGAGUUUCUUGAGGCCUUUCAGAGGUUCAGGGGAUAAUCUCCGGGCAUGAUGGACUGUAAGAGCAGUCUAUUCCACCUUCUACAGGAUGUAUUUCCAGCAUUAUAACGAUGUUGAACAAUAUUUACGCUUUGGAACUCACAGACAAGACCAUCAGAACCAAAGCCAUAUAAGAAGAGCAAGUGUGCAUUUUUUCUUGAAAGAUGACGGUCUUUGGCAUUUUGAUGGCCAACGGCAACGCAAAGUCCUACGCAGCCCGGAAGAAGUGAAGUGUGUGCUCAAACAAUACCAAAAGAUCUUUCCUGUGCUCCAAGCACUUCACAGAGGACUGCUUUGAUCACUCAGGAGGGAGUGUAUCUCUCAAAUCCGAUGCAGUCGCCACUGUGGCAAUGGCAUCAGACAUUCAAC